AACGAACGCUGGCGGCAUGCCUAACACAUGCAAGUCGAACGGAUCCUUCGGGAUUAGUGGCGGACGGGUGAGUAACGCGUGGGAACGUACCCUUUCUUCGGAAUAGCCUCGGGAAACUGGGAGUAAUACCGGAUAAGCCCUAUUGGGGAAAGAUUUAUCGGGAAGGGAUCGGCCCGCGUUGGAUUAGGUAGUUGGUGGGGUAAUGGCCUACCAAGCCGACGAUCCAUAGCUGGUUUGAGAGGAUGAUCAGCCACACUGGGACUGAGACACGGCCCAGACUCCUACGGGAGGCAGCAGUGGGGAAUCUUAGACAAUGGGGGAAACCCUGAUCUAGCCAUGCCGCGUGAUCGAUGAAGGCCUUAGGGUUAUAAAGCACUUUCAGCGAGGAGGAAGGGUUGGUAGUUAAUAGCUGCUAAUUUUGACGUUACUCGCAGAAGAAGCACCGGCUAACUCUGUGCCAGCAGCCGCGGUAAAGUGACUACUG
rnacentral:rRNA from 1 species